rnacentral:rRNA from 1 species
CCUACGGGUGGCUGCAGUAGGGAAUAUUGGUCAAUGGGGGAAACCCUGAAGCAGCAAAGCAGCGUGGAGGAUGACGGUUUUAUGAGUGGAAACUUCUUUUGAUAGAGAAGAUUAUGACGGUAUCUAACGAAUAAGCACCGGCUAAGUCCGUGCAGGCAGCGGCGUUAAUACGGAGGGUGCAAGGGUUACUCGGAAUAACUGGGCGUAAAGAGUGCGUAGGGGGGGUAAUUAGUCAGUUGUGAAAUCUUGCAGCUUAACUUCAGAACUGCAUUUGAAACUGUAACUCUGGAGUGCAGUGGUGGUAGGUGGAAGUCUUGGUGUAGGGGUAAAAUCCUUAGAGAUCACGAGGAAUACUCAUUGCGAAGGC